AACGUACGCUGGCGGCACGCCUAACACAUGCAAGUCGAACGAAGUAGCAAUACUUAGUGGCAGACGGGUGAGUAACAUGUAGGUAUCUGCCCUUUGGCCUGGAAUAACACGAGGAAACUUGUGCUAAUACCGGAUAAGUCUUUACGGAGAAAGCUUUAUGCACCAUUGGAUGAGCCUGCACUUGAUUAGUUUGUUGGUGGGGUAAUGGCCUACCAAGACUGUGAUCAAUAGCUGAUUUGAGAGGAUGAUCAGCCACAUUGGGACUGAGACACGGCCCAAACUCCUACGGGGGGCAGCAGUGGGGAAUCUUGCACAAUGGAGGAAACUCUGAUGCAGCGAUGCCGCGUGAGUGAAGAAGGCCCUUGGGUUGUAAAGCUCUUUCGUCGGGGAAGAAAAUGACUGUACCCGAAUAAGAAGGUCCGGCUAACUUCGUGCCAGCAGCCGCGGUAAUACGAAGGGACCUAGCGUAGUUCGGAAUUACUGGGCUUAAAGAGUUCGUAGGUGGUUGAAAAAGUUAGUGGUGAAAUCCCAGAGCUUAACUCUGGAACUGCCAUUAAAACUUUUCAGCUAGAGUAUGAUAGAGGAAAGCAGAAUUUCUAGUGUAGAGGUGAAAUUCGUAGAUAUUAGAAAGAAUACCAAUUGCGAAGGCAGCUUUCUGGAUCAUUACUGACACUGAGGAACGAAAGCAUGGGUAGCGAAGAGGAUUAGAUACCCUCGUAGUCCAUGCCGUAAACGAUGUGUGUUAGACGUUGGAAAUUUAUUUUCAGUGUCGCAGGGAAACCGAUAAACACACCGCCUGGGGAGUACGACCGCAAGGUUAAAACUCAAAUGAAUUGACGGGGACCCGCACAAGUAGUGGAGCAUGUGGUUUAAUUCGAAGAUACGCGCAGAACCUUACCAACACUUGACAUGUUCGUCGCGACUCUAAGAGAUUAGAGUUUUCGGUUUGGCCGGACGAAACACAGGUGCUGCAUGGCUGUCGUCAGCUCGUGUCGUGAGAUGUUGGGUUAAGUCCCGCAACGAGCGCAACCCUCACUUUUAGUUGCCAUCAUUAAGUUGGGCACUCUGAAAGAACUGCCAGUGAUAAGCUGGAGGAAGGUGGGGAUGACGUCAAGUCCUCAUGGCCCUUACGUGUUGGGCUACACGCGUGCUACAAUGGUAUCUACAACAGGAAGCAAGACUGCGAAGUUAAGCAAAUCCCUAAAAGAUACCUCAGUUCGGAUUGCACUCUGCAACUCGAGUGCAUGAAGCUGGAAUUACUAGUAAUCGUGGAUCAGCGUGCCACGGUGAAUGCGUUCCCGGGUCU
rnacentral:rRNA from 1 species